AAAAUGCGAUAAGCAAUGCGAAUUGCAGAAUCCGCGAGUCAUCAGAUCUUCGAACGCAAUAAGCGCCGUGGGUUAAUUGCCUGCGGCAUGUUUGCUUCAGCGUUGAACCUAUUACCAUCAAAGUGUGAUUGAAUCGCCGAUUCUCUCAUCAAAAAGGAAUGUUCUGCAUUCCCUCGCGACGAAGUUGUCACCUUCGGGUGAAUUCGUCGGGGGCGGGGUGAGGGAGCAUAGGUCAACGAGACUUUAAAAAUAUUCUAACCUGAAGUAAGCAAGACUACCCGCUGAACUUAA
rnacentral:misc_RNA from 1 species